AGUGAACGCUGGCGGUAGGCCUAACACAUGCAAGUCGAACGGCAGCACAGUAAGAGCUUGCUCUUACGGGUGGCGAGUGGCGGACGGGUGAGGAAUACAUCGGAAUCUACUUUUUCGUGGGGGAUAACGUAGGGAAACUUACGCUAAUACCGCAUACGACCUACGGGUGAAAGCAGGGGAUCUUCGGACCUUGCGCGAUUGAAUGAGCCGAUGUCGGAUUAGCUAGUUGGCGGGGUAAAGGCCCACCAAGGCGACGAUCCGUAGCUGGUCUGAGAGGAUGAUCAGCCACACUGGAACUGAGACACGGUCCAGACUACUACGGGAGGCAGCAGUGGGGAAUAUUGGACAAUGGGCGCAAGCCUGAUCCAGACAUACCGCGUGGGUGAAGAAGGCAUUCGGGUUGUAAAGCACUUUUGUUGGGAAAGAAAAGCAGCAGGUUAAUACCCCGCUGUUCUGACGGUACACAAAGAAUAAGCACCGGCUAACUUCGUG
rnacentral:rRNA from 1 species